UCCAUACCCUGAUAUUAGCCACAGUCCAAGGUUCCAGAUAGCUGUUCUACUUCUCUGCCUCCCUCUGCUCUGCAGCCUAACCAGAACCAUGCUGUUCAGAAUUUUUGCUGCUGUCUUCCUUGCUGAACUCCUGGGCUCGGGCUCAGGCGUCACAGACACUGGCCCAUGGCUGUGCCAGCCAGCGCCCAGGUGUGGGAACCAGACCUACGACCCCUUGGAGCAGUGCUGUGACAAUGACACCAUCCUGCCCCUGAAUGCAACCCGGCUGUGUGUCCCCAACUGCAUCUUCUAUCCCUGCUUCCAGCACUGCUGCCUGGAGUCCCCGGGCUCUCAGAAUCAGGCAGUGGUGACAUUCAAGGUCCCAGGCAUGAAGCCCGACUGCAGGUCCUCCCCCAUCUCCAGGAUUUGUGCCCAGAUCCAAGACCCAGAACUGAAGAUAUCAACAACUCAGAAAGAGUAAUGGAAGAACACCAACAAGUCAUGUCUGUAAGUCCUCCCUCUAGCCAAAGGACCAGGAAAAGGAAGUCUAACAAGACAUGCAAUUUUUGGACAAUAAUGGCUUUACUCCUGCCAAACAUCAGCAAAGUUGCUUGCAGGACUGGCUGAGAAAGAUGCAUCUGGUUGGGAACUCAGAAGGGCAGGGACAGAAGAGAUUGUGUGGAGACUGAACCCAAGACCAGGAAACAUGGGGUCCAAAGAUGAUGUAGAGGACUAAGAAUUGGCUCCCCCACCAAAUGAGUGGAACCCAGGGGAGAUUCUCUGGGGUGAAGUCCUCCAGCAUGGACCAGCAAGUAGUGGGCACUGGAGGAAUUCCACCUAUGGGAUGACCUCUCUCACUCCACGAUCCAGAGGGUGGAGCAUCACACCCCAGAAGACCCCACCUAAUACUGCUGAGAGGAGAAGCUGGGAACAUUUUUUACUCCAAUGGCAAGAAUUCUUUAACUUUUCAUCAAGAACUUCUUUUGCUUUUAUUUUUUGUUUGUUUGUUUGCUUACUUUUUCUCUGUUUACCCGUGAACUUAGUGGUACGUGUACAUUUAUACAUUUUUAUGUUUGUGGGUUUGUUCUCAUUUCUAGAAUUUUGACUGAUUAGUUUUGACUGAUUUUUCACUGAUUAGUUUUUGUGAACUAGGAUGUGUGAUUAGAAUAUUUUUAUUUUGUUUUGCCUUAUUUUUAUUUUUAAAAUUUUAAAAUCAUGUUUAUUUUUCUCCUACCUUUAUCUCUUUAUUCUCUUUUCUUCUGGUAACAGCCAAUCUCUAUUGUUCUCUCCUUCACUCUUCCUUUAAUUUUUUACUUCAUCUUCUCUCCUCACUCAUAAUCAUCAAAUCCUGUAUCACUUCUGCUCUCCCUCUGGCCAUCAUUUGAAAUUGUAAACCAUUUUGCAAACUUGAUGUUUUUAUUCUAGGCAAUAACUGAUCAUAUCAUUUCUGUUUACUGUGAUAAUUAACAUUUUAGACAUCAUAGAAGUAACUAUUUGGUUUAAUACUGUACAUUGUUUGCAUUGGUUGUUAUUAUUUGACUCCCCCUAAACAGCAAGGUAUUG